UCAAAGUUUGGAUUCUGAAAACCUAGAAGGAAAAGAAAAGAGGAGGAGCCUCUCUCUCCCGUCCUCACGCUCUCCGCUCUCUCUUCCACGACGAACAACAACAUCAGCGGCGCUUAAUAAAGCUCAACCAUGGUAGCUUUUUGUUCUCAUCAUCAUCUCUCUUGAGAGCGACAACAACAACGAUGGUCUUCGGUUCUCUCUCUCUUGCGAAAACGACGACAAUAACAGAAAAAUCUCUCUCUCGGUUUCUCACGGCGGCCAUGGAAUAAGCUCGAAGAAUCUCACAUACUCACGAAUCCAGAUCUAUCUGGAGCAUGUGUGGUGAAUGCUGAAUGGCGAAAGUAGCUACACCAAGUGCCAUGCCUCCGAGUUCUCGUGGAAUUUCAUCGGUACCUCUAAAAGGUGCUUCUAUUGCUAAAAGAAAGACGCCUUCAUAACUUAGGGUUAGUCUGGGAAGGAAAAUUCCGGAGGCGUGUGCUGCAAUCUUGUGGAAGAGUGCUAAAGCUGCUCCAAAGGUAUAUAUAUAUGUAUAUAUAUAUAUAUAUAUAUAUAUAUAUAUGUAUAUAUAUAUAUACAAAAUCGAUACUUGAAUGUGCAGAUUGCAAAUCAUUGUUUUGUUAUGUUUGGAGAGCUUCUAUACAGAAUUCAAAUAAAUUCAUGACAGUGGAGGUGUAAGUUUUGUUUCUCUAUCUAUAAAGCCUAUCUAUGAAGCACGGACACAAGAAACACGACACCGACACUGAUAUGUCGACACCUCGACACUUGUAAUAAUUUGAAAUUCGGUGCUUUGUAUAAACCUUGUAGGAUUAUGAAGUGGAAACAGGUAUCUAAUACUGAUACGUAUAUGCACCAAUAAUAAUUUUAAGAAAAUGAAAGUAAUCAAUAUAAUCAAAUGUGUAUGCAUUGGUGUUGUGUUUUUGUAAGAUACAUACAUGUAAGAAACUGACAUGUGAUGUUGGUCUUGUAGGGAUGGUCACUUUAUUAUAUUCAAAAGGCAUUUACUACAGCUGCCUCUAAGUUGGAAAAGAUUGGAUAUGCAGACUUAGGGAGAAUAAGGAAGCUAUAGAGCCUAAGGAAGAUCCAGAAAGGGAUCAAAGAAUUGUUUUUGCCUAUCAGGUUAUUUGGUUGGCUCUGUUCUAUUUUUGUCUUGGAUUAUAUUUGAACUACUACUAGAGUUGUAUUGUAUCAAGUAUGAAUGGCUAAUAUGCAAAUGUUGAUGAUAGAUAAUCUAGCAAGCUUCCUGCAGAGUCAUGUUUAGUCUGAUUAUGCAAGCUUUUUCAUUAUAUUUAGUCUGAUUAUGCUACUACCUGUUGGUAUAUGUUAAUAUUACAUCUUCGGCGGUGCUUUGCAGAGUCAUGUUUAAUGUCUAACAUGAUGGUAUAUUUAAUUACUCAAAAAUACACUCCUAGUUGAAUUGAGUAAAUAGCUACACUAGAUAAUCUAGACAUAACAUUGCAGGAAGUGAUGCAUUUCUUACAUCAACUUACUGCUGGUAUGGGCCAGAAUGUAAAAUUCAGAGUGAGAAACAUAGGCGAGGGAGACGAUUUAACUGUUGCAGUAAAAUGGCAGUUGGGUCAUAGUCCUAUCCUAUGCUAAUUUACUACUUUUCUACUCGCUAUUUAUUUUUCUCGCAACAUAUAAGUGAUAUAAGCUUGAUGAUAAUCUUUUUGGUAUGGUAAAAUGGAAGGAGGAUCAAAUCCCAUUCACCAGAGGCUGCAGCUUCUUUCAGUUAGCAAAAGUAGAAGAAAACGUGAAAAUAAAGAGAGCUGAGAUAUUUAUCGAAUCACUAGUCAAACCUGGAAGCAUAGUUUUGGUAACUACAAAAUAGAAACCAUCUUGCUAAGUCGGUUGCAUUGUUAAAGCACAUUCAUGAAACACUGAAUCAAGUUGAUGAUCUAGCACAUACAUGCUUUGGAACACUGUUAUGAUGCAGAUGACAACAAACAGAAAGAAGUAUUUGAAACACUUCAGCGUGGACCGAAACGAAGCCGAAGUUCGAGAGGCUACAAUCAAUGAUGCCAUGGUACUCAGUUUAUAACCCUUCGCACAACUGGAGGUAUCUUGAACCCGGAGCAAUUCAAGUAGUUCAAACUUGUCAAGACAGAACCCGGAGUUGCAGGGAUAUGCUGAUGAAUGUUAAUUGUCCAAAGCAGCCAUAAGAAGAAUGAACUAUAUUGUGGUGAUUCAUCAAGUUAACAAAAACACCGAACAUUGUUGUGAAGUAUAUAUUUACAGUUUAGCUAAUCAUGAACCAAUCAAUGUCAUAAAAAAUGUUUGAAUUCUGUCAUGAACCUACUUGUGUUUGUUCAACAUUACCAAAACUCAUUCAAAACAAUUGUCAAUAAUAGAUAUUUGUAUCAUUUGAUGCAAGUGGUAAUAAUUAUUGGUUUUUGAU